AGCAGCCGCGGUAAUUCCAGCUCCAAUAGCGUAUAUUAAAGUUGUUGCAGUUAAAAAGCUCGUAGUUGAAUUUCGAGACCGGCUUACUGGUCGUGCUAUUGUACGUACUGGUAUAAUCGGUUUCUCCUUUCCGACGAACUAUAAUGCCAUUAAUUUGGUGUUUUAGGGAAUCAGGACUGUUACUUUGAAAAAAUUAGAGUGUUUAAAGCAGGCUACACGCUUGAAUACAUUAGCAUGGAAUAACGGAAUAGGACGUUUGAUUCUAUUUUGUUGGUUUCUAGGAUCGACGUAAUGAUUAAUAGGGAUAGUUGGGGGCAUUAGUAUUCAAUUGUCAGAGGUGAAAUUCUUGGAUUUAUUGAAGACUAACUACUGCGAAAGCAUUUGCCAAGGAUGUUUUCAUUAAUCAAGAACGAAAGUUAGGGGAUCGAAGACGAAUCAGAUACCGUCGUAGUCUUAACCAUAAACUAUAGCCGACUAGGGAUCGGAUGAUGUAAUUUUUAAUGACUCAUUUCGGCGCCUU
rnacentral:rRNA from 1 species